UUUAUCUUUUUUUCAAAUGUGCCGCUCGACGUUACGCGCGACUUUAAUUAUGGUCCGCAGAUUUAUUUACAAAUGUGAGCCACGGCGCCGUGGCAUUUUACUUGAUAUUUGAACAAGAACGAGAGGUGCAGUGCGCACGCACAAGGAAACAAAUGACGGGAGGGGGAAGAAAGGAGAAGGAGUGUAUGUAUUCGCAGCGCGAAAUGAAACAGGU
rnacentral:lncRNA from 1 species